rnacentral:rRNA from 1 species
GACGAACGCUGGCGGCGUGCUUAACACAUGCAAGUCGAACGGAAAGGCCCUGCUUUUGUGGGGUGCUCGAGUGGCGAACGGGUGAGUAACACGUGAGUAACCUGCCCUUGACUUUGGGAUAACUUCAGGAAACUGGGGCUAAUACCGGAUAGGAGCUCCUGCUGCAUGGUGGGGGUUGGAAAGUUUCGGCGGUUGGGGAUGGACUCGCGGCUUAUCAGCUUGUUGGUGGGGUAGUGGCUUACCAAGGCUUUGACGGGUAGCCGGCCUGAGAGGGUGACCGGGGCCAGUGUGAGAGAGAGAUGGCCCAGACACCUCCGGGAGGAAGGGGAGGGGAAAAUAGGGCACAGGGGGGAGGGGGGUGGCGGAGAAGCCGCGUGGGGGGAAUGGGCGUUUGGGGGUUAAACCGCUUUUGCCUGUGUGGGAACGGGGGGGAGGGGAAUGGGGGAAGAGACACCGCGUAAAACCGC